AAACGUAGGGGGCGAGCGUUGUCCGGAAUCACUGGGCGUAAAGGGUGCGUAGGCGGCCGUUUAAGUCCCGUGUGAAAGGCUCCGGCUUAACCGGAGAGGGUCACGGGAAACUGGACGGCUAGAGUGCCGGAGAGGGUGGCGGAAUUCCCGGUGUAGCGGUGAAAUGCGUAGAGAUCGGGAGGAACACCAGUGGCGAAGGCGGCCACCUGGACGGUAACUGACGCUGAGGCACGAAAGCUGGGGGAGCAAACAGGAUUAGAUACCCUGGUAGUCCCAGCCGUAAACGAUGAGUGCUAGGUGUUGCGGGUAUCGACCCCUGCAGUGCCGUAGCUAACGCAAUAAGCACUCCGCCUGGGGAGUACGGCCGCAAGGCUGAA
rnacentral:rRNA from 1 species